rnacentral:misc_RNA from 1 species
GAUGAAGAACGUAGCAAAAUGCGAUACGUAAUGUGAAUUGCAGAAUUCAGUGAAUCAUCGAAUCUUUGAACGCACAUUGCGCCCGCCAGUAUUCUGGCGGGCAUGCCUGUUCGAGCGUCAUUUCAACCCUCAAGCACAGCUUGGUGUUGGGACUCGCGUUAAUUCGCGUUCCUCAAAUUGAUUGGCGGUCACGUCGAGCUUCCAUAGCGUAGUAGUAAAACCCUCGUUACUGGUAAUCGUCGCGGCCACGCCGUUAAACCCCAACUUCUGAAUGUUGACCUCGGAUCAGGUAGGAAUACCCGCUGAACUUAAGCAUAUCAUAAGGGAGGA